AACGAACGCUGGCGGCAUGCCUAACACAUGCAAGUCGAACGAGACAUUCGGGCUUAGUGGCGCACGGGUGCGUAACGCGUGGGAACUUGCCCUUAGGUUCGGAAUACAUCCCUGAAAGGGGUGCUCAUACCGGAGAAUGUCUUCGGAGCAAAGAUUUCUUGCCUUUGGGUGGGCGCGCGUUGGAUUAGCUGGUUGGUAGGGUAAUAGCCUACUAAGGAGACGAUGCUGAGCUGGUUUGAGAGGAUGAUCAGCCACACUGGGACUGAGACACGGCCAAGACUCCUACGGGAGGGAGCAGUGGAGAAUAUUGGACAAUGGGCGAAAGCCUGGUCCAGCAAUGCCGCGUGAGUGAUGAAGGCCUUAGGGUUGGGAAGCUCUUUUACCCGGGAUGAUAAUGACAGUACCGGGAGAAUAAGCACCGGCUAACUCCGUG
rnacentral:rRNA from 1 species